AGGGCUAUAGUUCAAUGGUAGAAUAGCGGUCUCCAAAACCGUUGAUGGCGGUUCAAAUCCGUCUGGCCCUG
rnacentral:tRNA from 1 species